rnacentral:rRNA from 1 species
UACGUAGGGAGCAAGCGUUGUCCGGAAUCAUUGGGCGUAAAGCGCGCGUAGGCGGUUACUCAAGUCGGAUGUGAAAGCCCUCGGCUUAACUGAGGAAGUGCACCCGAAACUGAGUAGCUAGAGUACUAAAGAGGGUCGCGGAAUUCCCGGUGUAGAGGUGAAAUUCGUAGAUAUCGGGAGGAACACCGGUGGCGAAGGCGGCGACCUGGGUAGAUACUGACGCUGAGGCGCGAAAGCGUGGGGAGCAAACAGG